rnacentral:lncRNA from 1 species
AGAAAGAUACGUUCAUAGAAGGGAAAUAUCAAGCGAAAAUAAACACUGGUGCUGGAAAGAUACGUUCAGGGAAGGACGACAUCAGGAGAAAAUAAGUAAUAGCAUGGCAGUCUUGAUGAUGGCACUUAUCAAGAACAAGACACACAUUCUCUUUUGUGUUGCUCUUUUGUUGAUGUGUACCACUUUUCAGUGUGGCCUAGCGGUAGCGGGGAGGGACGUAGGUAAUUUCCAAAUUAGUUUCCUAGAUGACUUUCUUGCUAUAAAAUAGACCCAAAUGAUUAUGUAUCAUUCUUUCCAUACAUAUUAAUUUGUAUGUUGUGGUGCUUCCUUCAUUGUGUUUAGGUACCAAGGUUGCAUUUGGAAUCCAAUGUUUCACUUACUCAGUGUGCAUGGACUCAUAUCAGUAUACGGUUGAUUACCGCAACAAGGAGUGCAAAAUACUUGGUUAUGACGGCCAGAAAGGCUACUGCAAGAAGGAGAACCGUGGCGUGUGUUGUUGUGCCUAAAGUUAAAGACAAGUUAUAUUGUCAUUUUGUAGAAAAUAAUUGCAUGUAUUUGCUUGUCGGAAUACUAAUUUAUAUGGAUUUUACGAGAAUUUCAAUAACAUAUACUGGUAGUUGCUUUCGAAGACCAACUUGACUAGCUAGCCGAUCAACUCUUCAGGUCAUAUGAAUCAACAAUGAGCCAGCUAAAAACUGGAAGUACUAAUAAGUUAAAAAAAUUAAAUUGGGGAG